rnacentral:rRNA from 1 species
ACUCAAAUGAAUAGACGGGGGCCCGCACAAGCGGUGGAGCAUGUGGUUUAAUUCGAUGCUACACGAAGAACCUUACCUACUUUUGAUCUCCAUAACUAAAUAGAGAUAUUUAGGUGCCUUAGGGAAAUGGAUGACAGGUGUUGCAUGGCUGUCGUCAGCUCGUGUUGUGAGAUGUUGGGUUAAGUCCCGUAACGAGCGCAACCCUUAUCCUUAGUUACUAACAAGUUAUGUUGAGCACUUUAAGGAAACUGCCGGCGAUAAUCCGGAGGAAGGUGGGGAUGAUGUCAAGUCAUUAUGGCCUUUAUGAGUAGGGCUACACACGUGCUACAAUGGUUAAUACAAAGGGCAGCGAAACUGUGAAGUGAAGCAAAUCCUAAAAAAUUAAUCGUAGUCCGGAUUGGAGUCUGCAACUCGACUCCAUGAAGUUGGAAUCGCUAGUAAUCGUGGAUCAGAAUGCCACGGUGAAUACGUUCUCGGGCCUUGCACACACCGCCCGU